rnacentral:rRNA from 1 species
AUAAUGGGUCAGCGACUUAUAUUCUGUAGCAAGGUUAACCGAAUAGGGGAGCCGAAGGGAAACCGAGUCUUAACUGGGCGUUAAGUUGCAGGGUAUAGACCCGAAACCCGGUGAUCUAGCCAUGGGCAGGUUGAAGGUUGGGUAACACUAACUGGAGGACCGAACCGACUAAUGUUGAAAAAUUAGCGGAUGACUUGUGGCUGGGGGUGAAAGGCCAAUCAAACCGGGAGAUAGCUGGUUCUCCCCGAAAGCUAUUUAGGUAGCGCCUCGUGAAUUCAUCUCCGGGGGUAGAGCACUGUUUCGGCAAGGGGGUCAUCCCGACUUACCAACCCGAUGCAAACUGCGAAUACCGGAGAAUGUUAUCACGGGAGACACACGGCGGGUGCUAACGUCCGUCGUGAAGAGGGAAACAACCCAGACCGCCAGCUAAGGUCCCAAAGUCAUGGUUAAGUGGGAAACGAUGUGGGAAGGCCCAGACAGCCAGGAUGUUGGCUUAGAAGCAGCCAUCAUUUAAAGAAAGCGUAAUAGCUCACUGGUCGAGUCGGCCUGCGCGGAAGAUGUAACGGGGCUAAACCAUGCACCGAAGCUGCGGCAGCGACGCUUAUGCGUUGUUGGGUAGGGGAGCGUUCUGUAAGCCUGUGAAGGUGUGCUGUGAGGCAUGCUGGAGGUAUCAGAAGUGCGAAUGCUGACAUAAGUAACGAUAAAGCGGGUGAAAAGCCCGCUCGCCGGAAGACCAAGGGUUCCUGUCCAACGUUAAUCGGGGCAGGGUGAGUCGACCCCUAAGGCGAGGCCGAAAGGCGUAGUCGAUGGGAAACAGGUUAAUAUUCCUGUACUUGGUGUUACUGCGAAGGGGGGACGGAGAAGGCUAUGUUGGCCGGGCGACGGUUGUCCCGGUUUAAGCGUGUAGGCUGGUUUUCCAGGCAAAUCCGGAAAAUCAAGGCUGAGGCGUGAUGACGAGGCACUACGGUGCUGAAGCAACAAAUGCCCUGCUUCCAGGAAAAGCCUCUAAGCAUCAGGUAACAUCAAAUCGUACCCCAAACCGACACAGGUGGUCAGGUAGAGAAUACCAAGGCGCUUGAGAGAACUCGGGUGAAGGAACUAGGCAAAAUGGUGCCGUAACUUCGGGAGAAGGCACGCUGAUAUGUAGGUGAAGUCCCUCGCGGAUGGAGCUGAAAUCAGUCGAAGAUACCAGCUGGCUGCAACUGUUUAUUAAAAACACAGCACUGUGCAAACACGAAAGUGGACGUAUACGGUGUGACGCC